AAACAGGAUUGCCAUCUUUGUUUCAGUACAUACCAUUGUUCCCAGCACACAAAUACUGUCUUUCUGCAUGAUGCUCCCACCAAGAUGCAGUCAGACUGCUUCUAAUCCUUGGAACACUGGCUGAAACAAGAGGAGGAGGUUUUAUGGAAGCUUACCCAUACGACUUACCAAGAUGACAAAAUCCUCACUAGCUACGGAUGGGCUGCUUUGCACUGCUGUGUCAGAAAACUUCCCGAGAAACAAGCAAAGAGCCAGUGACCUGAGGAAACAGCAGAUAAUCAGCUUUAUUUUCUCCCUGAGUGGAUUUUAACACAUGGGUCACAUUGACCGUGGCCUGAAGUCUCUGAGACAGCAUUUCACAAGACCUACUUGUUCAUCAGCAGCAUGAAAUUCCCAGUUGGUGCCCAGUUUCCUGGAACCACUUGUGUGUGAUAGCUUCUGUACUUAUUUGUCUGAAAAGUAAGAUAUCACCACGGGAAAACUAAGGCUCUCCUAUCAGCCUCUCUAUUUACACUAUGCUUGCAGAAGGAUCUAAUAAAAGCAGAAGACUGGUUUUUAUUAUUUCAGCAAGAUCUCAGCAGCAGAGAGCAGUAGAGGGAGAAAGACUUUGAUAACUGGGUUUUAUGACCAAUAAAGAAAAUAUUGUUAGAAGUUUGUACUUGCUGACAUGUUUAUGACUUCCAGGUAAAUAUGCACUGUUUUACCUCCCUGUCAGGGUGCCACAGAGCCCGGGGCUCCCUGGGGACCCCCAUGGUGGCAGGCAGCACCCGGCAGCCUGAACCUGUCCCACCCCACACCAGGGAGCUGAGCAGCCCCAGCCCUGGGCGCCUCCCUGAGGAAUGGGACAGGCCGAGGCCAGGACGCUGGCACAUGGACGGGGUCCCAAUCAGCAGGGUCCAUGGCCAGGCAGGGCAGGGCCUGAUGGCCUUGGCGGGCUGAAAUGGGGUCCUGGGCCAUGGGCAGGGUGGGCUGGGCUGUAAGUGUGGCUGGUGCCCUCAGGCCCUGAUGCUUGAGAUACCUUAUAUGCUUAUAAAUGAUUUCUUGUCCCCUAAGGAUGCUGCUGCAAAUUAUGGAAAUAACAACUUCCAAAAACAAAAUGGGAAUUUUAGCAUAUCUCUCUGCAGUAAUUUGUUGUUUUCAUUUAAGCUCAUUUGUCCCAGGCUGAAGAUCCCUUGACCCUCAAUUUAGGAUGUAAGGGGGCUCUAGGGAGGGAUAAUGGGGGGAGGCGGGGGAGCAACCAGGCUUCAACUAAAAAGCAGCAGGCUAAAAUCGAGUCUCUUCUGCUCUGGGUUUGGUUAUUUCAGGUCCUGGAACUACUGAGACCCAAACCCCACUGGGUAAUGAGCAGGGCACGACGCACUGAAAUCAUCCUGUCCUCAUUUUGCCGGUGGCUGUCUGUCUCAUACAGACAUGCUCGUUUCUUCCACCCACAUGUGAAUAAUGCUGGCUGGUUUCUGGCUCACAGAGUGUGCAAUGGGAAGGGAGCACAGGCACCUCGUGUGGGGCCCAGCGCUGCUUUGGGAGCCAGUCUCUAACCCUGAGUGAUCACAGCAUUGAGCCCCUCAGCAGCUUCGGUCCUUCAUGGAUAGAGCUAGUUAUUCUUGAAAAGUGGCAAUUAAGUGGCACUGAUCUGGAAGACAAAUAAUGCAGUACUGGAAACUCUAUAUUAGGAGCAUAUAUACAUAUUUAUAUAUAUUUAUAUCUAAUAUAUAUAUUCAUUUAUUUUUAAUAGAAGAGGUAGGAUUAAUUUCAUCCAGUUUUAGACAUCUAUAGCAUAAAUACUUGUAUUUCCUAGUCACCCCCAGCUCCCUUCACCGUCAACAGAGGAAGACAGGCACCUCUAGGGCAUGACUCAUUCAGCCUGUUUUUAGAUGUCUACCUAGAAAGACAGAAAUCCUGCCCUCUGAGGGACUGCUUCUCUCCUCAACUGACUAAUUAUCUUGGAUGCAGACACACCUGUAGGGGCUUCUCACUCCCAGUAAUCAAGGGAGGAAGAUCAGCUUAACCCAAACCCUUCCCCAUGGGAAACCUUCACACCUACCCACACACAGACACACAGAGCCUUGGGAGCUGGUUGAAAGACCCUUUAUAGUAAAUUCAACACCUCUGAGCAGGGGACUUAUUAAAUCUACUUAAGUUUUAACUUAAAACAAUGUUAUUUGCAGCAUCUUAAUCCCAUAACUUUCCACCAGCACAGCUGAGUCAGUUCUGUUACAGAUACAGCUGAAGCCUCCCUUUUGUGAAACUAGCCCAAGCCUACUGCCCAGGGAUCUCUGGGUGAGAAGAAACAUGAUGGACUUCUUCCUCUAAAUAUGUGAAUUGAAUAUGCUGAGCUGGAGCUAUCACAUAUGUCACAAAUAAUGCUGCUGCUGGAGGUACAUCCCUGCACUCCCUGGAGUGCAAGCCGAGGAGGGCUCUGCAGGAACCCAGUGGGGAAAAAGACCAAGGUUGCCUCUGGUUUAUCACUCAUUGGGGAAGCGGCACUAGCAAAAGAUCUAGAACGCAUAUUCUACUGUGAUCACUGCACCUAGCAAGUUUGCAUUAACUAGUCACAACCAUAUUUUGCACCAAAUUCUUAAAUUAAGAGAGGUUUUCCUCUCACAUAGCAGCUGAAAUAAAGACAUCAGGACUCAAACAUUUAAUAAAAGAUGUUUUCUGUCAUAGCUGUAACAGGAAACAGUGAUUACUAUAAC